rnacentral:rRNA from 1 species
CCUACGGGAGGCAGCAGUGAGGAAUAUUGGUCAAUGGACGAAAGUCUGAACCAGCCAAGUAGCGUGAAGGAUGAAGGCCCUAUGGUUUGUAAACUUCUUUUAUAUGGGAAUAAAGUGUUCCACGUGUGGGCUUUUGUAUGUACCCUAUGAAUAAGGAUCGGCUAACUCCGUGCCAGCAGCCGCGGUAAUACGGAGGAUCCGAGCGUUAUCCAGAUUUAUUGGGUUUAAAGGGAGCGUAGGUGGUUUGUUAAGUCAGUUGUGAAAGUUUGCGGCUCAACCGUAAAAUUGCAGUUGAAACUGGCAGUCUUGAGUACAGUAGAGGUGGGCGGAAUUCGUGGUGUAGCGGUGAAAUGCAUAGAUAUCACGAAGAACUCCGAUUGCGAAGGCAGCUCACUGGACUGUAACUGACACUGAGGCUCGAAAGUGUGGGUAUCAAACAGGAUUAGAUACCCCAGUAGUC